rnacentral:rRNA from 1 species
AUGGGCAGGCACGCGGAAUGUUUCCAGCUGUGUGGCGCCUCUUCCAGCGGCAGCCUCUCUUUCGUGAACGGCAGCCUUGUCCUCCUCUUCAACCCCGUCACCGGCGCGUCCCGGAGCAUCGAGAUUCCCCCAAUCUGUCGGACUGGACCUAGGUUUUGCACUGGCGCCGAGGCGUUCUUCAUUAGCAAGUUUCCUAAGGGCGUGUCUCUCUGGUGGUGGUGCUCGGACGAGUGGAGCGAGCGGAAGCUGCUUCUGCCUGAAGGGUUCGAAAUCUACCAUGCCAUUGCUCUGUCGGCCUACAGCGACGGUGUCUUGUAUGCGCUGGAAUUCUCCGGUUUGGUGUACACCAUGGAUACCCGCAUGCCGCUGCCUUGGGGCCUCACGAGGCUCCGUGCGCCAAGCAUUCUCGAGCAGUACUCCCCGAUCGUUGGGUACCCCUAUAUUCGGAAUUGCCACCUGCUCGAGUCAGAAGGCGAUGUCAUGUUUGUCGGUCCAGUGUUCGCAACAAAAGAUCCCGGAUGCCCCAAAUCCAUCCGUGGCUUCGAGGUGUACAGGCUGGACGUUGAUGGGGCACGGUGGGUGAAAGUGGAGAGGCUCGCCGGCGAACGGGCGCUUUUCCUGAGCGAUCAAUCAUCGUUUGUGGUGCAUGCUUCAGAGACGCCGGGUUGCAGGAGCAACUGCAUCUACUUUGUGGGUGAUCUUGACGAAUCCUCAUUCAGCACUUGGGGCAUCUACUCAAUGGAGGAGCGGAAGGUGCUGUUUCAGCGCCCCGUCGGUGGUUCGCCGGGAAUGUACAAAGCUGCCCGGUGGUUCUUCCCUGGUUUUGUGAUGCCACUUGCGUGA